rnacentral:rRNA from 1 species
GAUGAACGCUGGCGGCGUGCUUAACACAUGCAAGUCGAACGAAGCUCCUAAACCUGAGAUUCGUCAAGGGGGAAGGAUGACUUAGUGGCGGACGGGUGAGUAAUGCGUGAGCAACCUGCCCUUCAGAGGGGGACAACAGCUGGAAACGGCUGCUAAUACCGCAUAACGUAUACGGAAGGCAUCUUCUGUAUACCAAAGAUUUUAUCGCUGAAGGAUGGGCUCACGUCUGAUUAGCUAGUUGGGGGGGUAAUGGCUAACCAAGGCUGCGAUAAGUAGCCGGACUGAGAGGUUGGCCGGCCACAUUGGGACUGAGAUACGGCCCAGACUCCUACGGGAGGCAGCAGUGGGGAAUAUUGGGCAAUGGGCGCAAGCCUGACCCAGCAACGCCGCGUGAAGGAAGAAGGCUUUCGGGUUGUAAACUUCUUUUGGCAGGGACGAAAAAAAUGACGGUACCUGCAGAAUAAGCUCCGGCUAACUACGUGCCAGCCGCCGCAGUAAUAC